UUUAUGGAGGGUUUGAUCCUGGCUCAGGAUGAUCGCUGGCGGCGUGCCGAAUACAUGCAAGUCGGGCGAACAGACGGGGAGCUUGCUCCCUCGACGUUAGCGGCCGACAGGCGGGGAACACGUGGGGAACCUACCUCUAAGACUGGAAUAAAACCGGG
rnacentral:rRNA from 1 species